rnacentral:rRNA from 1 species
ACGAACGCUGGCGGCGUGCCUAAUACAUGCAAGUCGAACGCUUCUUUUUCCUCCCGAGUGCUUGCACUCAAUUGGAAAGAGGAGUGGCGGACGGGUGAGUAACACGUGGGUAACCUACCCAUCAGAGGGGGAUAACACUUGGAAACAGGUGCUAAUACCGCAUAACAGUUUAUGCCGCAUGGCAUAAGAGUGAAAGGUGCUUUCGGGUGUCGCUGAUGGAUGGACCCGCGGUGCAUUAGCCAGUUGGUGAGGUAACGGCUCACCAAGGCCACGAUGCAUAGCCGACCUGAGAGGGUGAUCGGCCACACUGGGACUGAGACACGGCCCAGACUCCUACGGGAGGCAGCAGUAGGGAAUCUUCGGCAAUGGACGAAAGUCUGACCGAGCAACGCCGCGUGAGUGAAGAAGGUUUUCGGAUCGUAAAACUCUGUUGUUAGAGAAGAACAAGGACGUUAGUAACUGAACGUCCCCUGACGGUAUCUAACCAGAAAGCCACGGCUAACUACGUGCCAGCAGCCGCGGUAAUACGUAGGUGGCAAGCGUUGUCCGGAUUUAUUGGGCGUAAAGCGAGCGCAGGCGGUUUCUUAAGUCUGAUGUGAAAGCCCCCGGCUCAACCGGGGAGGGUCAUUGGAAACUGGGAGACUUGAGUGCAGAAGAGGAGAGUGGAAUUCCAUGUGUAGCGGUGAAAUGCGUAGAUAUAUGGAGGAACACCAGUGGCGAAGGCGGCUCUCUGGUCUGUAACUGACGCU